rnacentral:rRNA from 1 species
AUUGAACGCUGGCGGCAUGCCUUACACAUGCAAGUCGAACGGCAGCACGGGUGCUUGCACCUGGUGGCGAGUGGCGAACGGGUGAGUAAUACAUCGGAACAUGUCCUGUAGUGGGGGAUAGCCCGGCGAAAGCCGGAUUAAUACCGCAUACGAUCUACGGAUGAAAGCGGGGGACCUUCGGGCCUCGCGCUAUAGGGUUGGCCGAUGGCUGAUUAGCUAGUUGGUGGGGUAAAGGCCUACCAAGGCGACGAUCAGUAGCUGGUCUGAGAGGACGACCAGCAACACUGGGACUGAGCCACGGCCCAGACUCCCACGGGAGGCAGCAGUGGGGAAUUUUGGACAAUGGGCGAAAGCCUGAUCCAGCAAUGCCGCGUGUGUGAAGAAGGCCUUCGGGUUGUAAAGCACUUUUGUCCGGAAAGAAAUCCUUGGCCCUAAUACGGUCGGGGGAUGACGGUACCGGAAGAAUAAGCACCGGCUAACUACGUG